rnacentral:rRNA from 1 species
CGACCGGCGCACGGGUGAGUAACACGUAUCCAACCUGCCGAUAACUCGGGGAUAGCCUUUCGAAAGAAAGAUUAAUAUCCGAUAGCAUAUCAAGAUCGCAUGAUCUUGAUAUUAAAGAAUUUCGGUUAUCGAUGGGGAUGCGUUCCAUUAGUUAGUUGGCGGGGUAACGGCCCACCAAGACGACGAUGGAUAGGGGUUCUGAGAGGAAGGUCCCCCACAUUGGAACUGAGACACGGUCCAAACUCCUACGGGAGGCAGCAG